GAUGAACGCUGGCGGCGUGCCUAAUACAUGCAAGUCGAGCGAACAGAUAAGGAGCUUGCUCCUUUGACGUUAGCGGCGGACGGGUGAGUAACACGUGGGUAACCUACCUAUAAGACUGGAAUAACUCCGGGAAACCGGGGCUAAUGCCGGAUAACAUUUAGAACCGCAUGGUUCUAAAGUGAAAGAUGGUUUUGCUAUCACUUAUAGAUGGACCCGCGCCGUAUUAGCUAGUUGGUAAGGUAACGGCUUACCAAGGCAACGAUACGUAGCCGACCUGAGAGGGUGAUCGGCCACACUGGAACUGAGACACGGUCCAGACUCCUACGGGAGGCAGCAGUGGGGAAUAUUGGACAAUGGGCGCAAGCCUGAUCCAGCCAUACCGCGUGGGUGAAGAAGGCCUUCGGGUUGUAAAGCCCUUUUGUUGGGAAAGAAAAGCAGCAGGUUAAUACCCCGCUGUUCUGACGGUACCCAAAGAAUAAGCACCGGCUAACUUCGUG
rnacentral:rRNA from 1 species